UAGGGAAUCUUCCGCAAUGGGCGAAAGCCUGACGGAGCAACGCCGCGUGAGUGAUGAAGGUCUUCGGAUCGUAAAACUCUGUUAUUAGGGAAGAACAAAUGUGUAAGUAACUAUGCACGUCUUGACGGUACCUAAUCAGAAAGCCACGGCUAACUACGUGCCAGCAGCCGCGGUAAUACGUAGGUGGCAAGCGUUAUCCGGAAUUAUUGGGCGUAAAGCGCGCGUAGGCGGUUUUUUAAGUCUGAUGUGAAAGCCCACGGCUCACCCGUGGAGGGUCAUUGGAAACUGGAAAACUUGAGUGCAGAAGAGGAAAGUGGAAUUCCAUGUGUAGCGGUGAAAUGCGCAGAGAUAUGGAGGAACACCAGUGGCGAAGGCGACUUUCUGGUCUGUAACUGACGCUGAUGUGCGAAAGCGUGGGGAUCAAACAGG
rnacentral:rRNA from 1 species